GCACCGCUAGCUCAACUGGUAGAGCAGGGGACUCUUAAUCCCAAGGUUCCAGGUUCGACUCCUGGGCGGUGCA
rnacentral:tRNA from 1 species